rnacentral:rRNA from 1 species
UACGUAGGUGGCAAGCGUUACUCGGAAUCACUAGGUGUAAAGCGCAUGUAGGAGGUUGGAUAAGUCUGUUGUGAAAGCUCCCGGCUUAACUGGGAGAGGCCAACGGAAACUAUUCGGCUGGAGUGCGGUAGAGGUAGCUGGAAUUCCCGGUGUAGCGGUGAAAUGCGUAGAUAUCGGGAGGAAUACCUAUGGCGAAAGCAGGCUACUGGACCGUCACUGACUCUGAUCUGCGAAAGCUAGGGGAGCAAACAGG